GGCCUACGGGGGGCAGCAGUGGGGAAUAUUGCACAAUGGGGGAAACCCUGAUGCAGCGACGCCGCGUGAGUGAAGAAGUAUUUCGGUAUGUAAAGCUCUAUCAGCAGGGAAGAAAAAAGACGGUACCUGACUAUGAAGCCCCGGCUAACUACGUGCCAGCAGCCGCGGUAAUACGUAGGGGGCAAGCGUUAUCCGGAUUUACUGGGUGUAAAGGGAGCGUAGACGGCAGCGCAAGUCUGGCGUGAAAUGCCGGGGCCCAACCCCGGAAGUGCUUUGGCCCCUGUGCGGCGCGAGUGCGGGAGAGG
rnacentral:rRNA from 1 species